rnacentral:piRNA from 1 species
GAACUUCGGAUGCAGAUUCUAAAAGCA